UACGAAGGGGGCUAGCGUUGUUCGGAAUUACUGGGCGUAAAGGGCACGUAGGCGGAUAUUUAAGUCAGGGGUGAAAUCCCAGAGCUCAACUCUGGAACUGCCUUUGUUACUGAAGAUCUUGAGUUCGGGAGAGGUGAGUGGAACUGCGAGUGUAGAGGUGAAAUUCGUAGAUAUUCGCAAGAACACCAGUGGCGAAGGCGGCUCACUGGCCCGAUACUGACGCUGAGGCACGAAAGCGUGGGGAGCAAACAGG
rnacentral:rRNA from 1 species